UUUGAUGAUUCUGGCAACGAAAGUAAAGCAGUUGGAAAUUUGAUCCAUCUGAUGGAAUUUGGUCUCAUGUCACUGAUAGACCUGCGGAAGGAUAUUAUACAUCUGUAGUUGCUGCAGGAGGUUUCAUUUACUGUAUUGGAGGGUUCAAGGAUAAAAUUCUAUCAAAUGCAAUAAAAUUCAAUCCAUCAGAUUCAACAUGGACAACACUUCCUUUAAAGCCGACUGCAAGAUAUGGUGCGGCUGCAGUUGAACUUGAAGAAAAGAUUUAUGUCAUGGGUGGAAACAACAAUGGCUUGAACGUUGUGGAAUGCUUUGAUACAGUUGCUGAAACAUGGACCCCUGUUGCCAGAUUAAACAAUUCAAGAUCAUAUUUCAAAGCCUGUGUAGUUGAAGGAAAGAUAUUUGCUGUUGG